rnacentral:rRNA from 1 species
GAUGAACGCUGGCGGCGUGCCUAAUACAUGCAAGUCGAGCGAACAGAUAAGGAGCUUGCUCCUUUGACGUUAGCGGUGGACGGGUGAGUAACACGUGGGUAACCUACCUAUAAGACUGGGAUAACUUCGGGAAACCGGAGCUAAUACCGGAUAAUAUUUCGAACCGCAUGGUUCGAUAGUGAAGGAUGGUUUUGCUAUCACUUAUAGAUGGACCCGCGCCGUAUUAGCUAGUUGGUAAGGUAACGGCUUACCAAGGCGACGAUACGUAGCCGACCUGAGAGGGUGAUCGGCCACACUGGAACUGAGACACGGUCCAGACUCCUACGGGAGGCAGCAGUAGGGAAUCUUCCGCAAUGGGCGAAAGCCUGACGGAGCAACGCCGCGUGAGUGAUGAAGGUCUUCGGAUCGUAAAACUCUGUUAUUAGGGAAGAACAUACGUGUAAGUAACUGUGCACGUCUUGACGGUACCUAAUCAGAAAGCCACGGCUAACUACGUG